UACGGGGGGGGCAAGCGUUGUUCGGAAUUACUGGGCGUAAAGGGCUCGUAGGCGGCCAACUAAGUCAGACGUGAAAUCCCUCGGCUUAACCGGGGAACUGCGUCUGAUACUGGAUGGCUUGAGAUUGGGAGAGGGAUGCGGAAUUCCAGGUGUAGCGGUGAAAUGCGUAGAUAUCUGGAGGAACACCGGUGGCGAAGGCGGCACCCUGGACCAACCCUGACGCUGAGGAGCGAAAGCCAGGGGAGCAAACGGG
rnacentral:rRNA from 1 species